GGGGAUGUAGCUCAGUGGUAGAGCACUUGCCUAGCAUGUGCAGAGUCCUGGCUGCCAUCCCCA
rnacentral:tRNA from 1 species